CCGGAGCUUGCUCCACCGGAAAAAGAGGAGUGGCGAACGGGUGAGUAACACGUGGGUAACCUGCCCAUCAGAAGGGGAUAACACUUGGAAACAGGUGCUAAUACCGUAUAACAAUCAAAACCGCAUGGUUUUGAUUUGAAAGGCGCUUUCGGGUGUCGCUGAUGGAUGGACCCGCGGUGCAUUAGCUAGUUGGUGAGGUAACGGCUCACCAAGGCCACGAUGCAUAGCCGACCUGAGAGGGUGAUCGGCCACAUUGGGACUGAGACACGGCCCAAACUCCUACGGGAGGCAGCAGUAGGGAAUCUUCGGCAAUGGACGAAAGUCUGACCGAGCAACGCCGCGUGAGUGAAGAAGGUUUUCGGAUCGUAAAACUCUGUUGUUAGAGAAGAACAAGGAUGAGAGUAACUGUUCAUCCCUUGACGGUAUCUAACCAGAAAGCCACGGCUAACUACGUGCCAGCAGCCGCGGUAAUACGUAGGUGGCAAGCGUUGUCCGGAUUUAUUGGGCGUAAAGCGAGCGCAGGCGGUUUCUUAAGUCUGAUGUGAAAGCCCCCGGCUCAACCGGGGAGGGUCAUUGGAAACUGGGAGACUUGAGUGCAGAAGAGGAGAGUGGGAAUUCCUGGUUAAGCCG
rnacentral:rRNA from 1 species